AAACUCCAUUCCCUUAUUUCUGUUCUCCUCCUCUUUGUGACUUUAAUACCAAAAGGAAAGACUGGCGUUAUUCCAGGACAAAAACAGUGUAUUGCUUUGAAAGGCGUGUGCAGAGACAAACUAUGCAGCACACUAGAUGAUACCAUUGGUAUAUGUAAUGAAGGAAAAAAAUGUUGUAGAAGGUGGUGGAUACUUGAGCCUUAUCCAACUCCAGUUCCCAAAGGAAAAUCUCCUUAG
rnacentral:lncRNA from 1 species